rnacentral:rRNA from 1 species
CUGGCUCAGGAUGAACGCUAGCGAUAGGCUUAACACAUGCAAGUCGAGGGGCAGCACGGUGUAGCAAUACACUGGUGGCGACCGGCGUACGGGUGCGUAACACGUAUGCAACCUACCCGCUAUUGGGGGAUAACCCGGCGAAAGUCGGACUAAUACCCCAUAUUAUUCUUACCGGGCAUCCGGUAGGUCUGAAAGAUUUAUCGAUUGCGGAUGGGCAUGCGGAUGAUUAGCUAGUAGGUGGGGUAACGGCUCACCUAGGCGACGAUCAUUAGGGGUUCUGAGAGGAAGGUCCCCCCACACUGGAACUGAGACACGGUCCAGACUCCUACGGGAGGCAGCAGUGAGGAAUAUUGGUCAAUGGGCGCUAGCCUGAACCAGCCAAGUCGCGUGAAGGAUGAACCAGAUCUAUGGUUUGUAAACUUCUUUUGCAGGGGAGUAAAGUGCGACACGUGUGUUGUAUUGCAAGUACCCUGCGAAUAAGCAUCGGCUAACUCCGUGCCAGCCGCGGC